GAGUACUAACGUUUCUUUGUAUCGUGAAAAUUCUUCAACAUAUCUGAUACUGAGUAGAAGAAAGAAACCAUAGUAAUUUCUGACAUCUGCCUGAAUCAAGAAAUGAAACAGAAGAUGCUGAAAGUUAUCCAGCUACUCUCAAGUACUGAAAAGCUGCCAUGACUUCUUCCUGGAGCCUCUCUUCUCCAAGGUGAUUAAGCCCAGCUGUUCCAUCAUUUCUCCAUAGAAGAGUUGCUCCCUCUCUUUUCAUGGCCCUCCUCUGAGCCCACUCCAACAGCUCUACAUCCUUCUUAUACUAGGGCCUCAGGGCUGAACACAGAACUCCAGAUGGGGCCUCACAAGGGUGUACCAGAGAGGACAAUCCCUCCCCCUUUUUGCUGGCCACCCCUCUUUUGAUGCAGCCCUGGUUACCACUGGUCUUUUGGUUAACAUAAUUUCUGUGUCAGCAAUAAUGUUGUGAGUGCAGUUGUGUGCUGUUCUCAAGCUUAUCUUCUCUCCUAUAUAUUCCUUUGCCUGUUAUUGCGGAAGCACAUUUCUAAUAAAGAACUAUUCCUAAAAUUUUUAUUGGGUUACCGGGGGUUGAGAGAAAUCAGAGUAAGUGGAAGUGCUUAAUAAUUCUGUGGAGCCAAGAGCUGCCCCAGUUUCACUUUUCAUUCUGCAGUAAUGGUUUCCAGAGGAAAUUCUGAAAAACGCUUUCAGACGAGAUAAAACAUAUGCAGAAUUUCCAUAAGUUGCUUCAGGAACCUUGCUACUGUCAUAUACUAAAUAUUACAGAUUACCUUUAUGCACUAGCUACUAUGCGCUCCCCAGCUGAGGAGUAAUGAUUUAAAUGAAGAUAAACUCUGGUAUAACUUCAAGUACAGCCAGUAAGAGUGUGGGCUAUGGGAGAAAUCUGCAAUUUAAAGAACAAAACAAAAGAAAAUACAACAAAAAUCUCGCGUUAGAAAUGUUUUAAACUGGGGACAUUCUAAAAGAAAAAUGAGUUUUCUGUACAAGUACCUAUCUUGAUAUUUUAGUAUAUAGAGAAGUAUCAGUAAAAAAUGUUAUUGCCAUCUUACUCACAUGGCAUUUAAUUGCAGAUUUUUUUUAUUUUGUCAUAUUGUUAGUUAAAUAUUGAUUGGUUCAAAGAUGAACUAAAACACUGGUACUUUCUUUCCCAAUUAGGAUAACUUCUCUGCAUGCCAACAGAUAUGACUCUAGCUAAAAUAACUGUACAAGUGGAGAUGUAAAAAAGUCUUACAUAAUACAUCAUACUGCACCUCAAUAAUGAUUUAUAAGUUAGAAGUAGUAGAGUAGCUGUACUGUUUCAUAUCUCUGCCCACAUUUUUUCCUAUUGGGAAUGAAGUGAGAGAGCUUGAUAGCUUAUAUUUAUUUUAGAGUUCUGUUUUCCAGUUUGCCAUGAGUAAGUUGUCUUAUAACAGUGAAAAAAUGUCCAGUUACAGAUUCCUCACUGCCAACAGCAAUGUUGUUGGGGUUAAAGAUUCUCAUGUUCUGACUGAGAAGCUGCAUGCUAUCUGUGGCACAUUAAAUUGUUUCGCAAUUGAGAAAUAUUCAUAAUUAAUAUUUGGUAUAUGUGCUCCAUGGAUGAAGAAGAUAUUCUUAUUUUCAUAACUUUUUCACAAUUUUUAAUUAACAUUAAUUUGAUGAUCUGGUUUUCUAUGUCUUACUGCUGUAAGAGAUAUCAUCUUGAUUUCUGCUGACUGUUCUCCAAUUAGUGAGUUAAUGUGCAACUUUUCUCCCUCAUCUAAAAGUUAAAUUUCUACUCAGAAAAUAUUUACUCUUCCUUCAGCUUUCAUCUUAAUGCCACAGUGUCAUUCUCCAGCAGUCAAAAUAAAUGACAUCUUUUAAAGUA